rnacentral:lncRNA from 12 species
UUGCACCUUCUGAGCCAGCCAGACAAACAUUAGCAAAAAAGUGCCCCUGCAUUCAUUUAUUUAGUCAUCAGGACACUGGGCACCCCCACAGGUCAGGCACGAGGCUGCCAUAGGAGAAAGACUUCCUGGUGUCAGUGAGCUCUGUGGGCUGGCCCAGGAGGCAGACAAAAGGGAAGGAUCAGAGGUCAGCAUGGGCAGUUCUAGAAUCAGGGUAAGAGGGUGCAAUAGGAGUACCCAGGAAGGUGUGGGUGACCCUGUGUGGGUCUGAGUGGUUCUGGGAAAGCCCAGCGAAGAUGACAAUUCAGAGGAACUAAUGACCAAGAAAAGGAGAAGUGUAAUCCCUGCACGUUCAGUGGAUGGAGGCUGGAAAGAAACUGCUGGACCGGAGAACAGUGAGGGGUAACCUCUGCUGCUCCGACUGGAUCCUCACUGACGGUGCCCCUCGCAUUGCCAUCCUCCUCCUCACCUCUGCUUCUGACCGGGGUCAUCGCUCACCUGUAUCUCUGUGCCAUGGUCUCCUGCCUCAUCUUCCUGCCUCCAGUCUUCUGUCCUUUAAAUUACCU